rnacentral:rRNA from 1 species
UACGUAGGGAGCAAGCGUUGUUCGGAUUUACUGGGCGUAAAGGGCGCGUAGGCGGCAAAUUAAGUCAGCUGUGAAAUCUCCGAGCUUAACUCGGAACUGUCAGCUGAUACUGAUCUGCUAGAGUGCGGAAGGGGCAAUCGGAAUUCUUGGUGUAGCGGUGAAAUGCGUAGAUUAUCAAGAGGAACACCUGAGGUGAAGACGGGUUGCUGGGCCGACACUGACGCUGAGUGCGCGAAAGCCAGGGGGAGCAAACGGG